UGGAGGUUGAGGCAGUUGAGAGAGGAAUCCAGGUAACUUUUCAGUCUUUACUCAGUAACAGGAGGCUGGACCUUCAAGUUUGUGAUGCCUGCUGACAGGUAGGGCCAAGUAUGUGGAGGAUAUUGGCCUGUUGUUCUGGAAGGGGUCAACAGGAGGAGUAAAAUGGGGGUCAUAGGCAUGAAGGUGGCACAAGCCUUGGACUAGAUAAGAGCACUAGAGACAACUAGAAAAGACAGGAGCCCAGGACAGAAACCUGGGACACCCCAGCAUUUAUAGGUUAGAUCAUUGAGAAGGAAGGAGCCAACAGUGGGGCCUAGGAGAGAAAUGGCCAGUUAUUAGCAAAUGGGGAGGUACAUGGAGCGCAUCAUCGAAACCAAGAGAACGGAGCAAGCAUGGAGGGCAUGAGAAAUGUGCCAAUGCUCCAGAAGAUAUGAAGGGAAGGACUUCCUGACACCACUGAAUCUGGAUACUGUUGCUGAGGUCAGCUCACCUAUCUUGCUGCUAACUUCUUGGAUUCAGCCUUCUCAUCUGUUGGCUUGAGAGCCUGUCCUGGUGACGUGCAUGUGCCAUGUCUACAGUUGGGAUCAGUUGCAUUGAGGACCUCAUCACCCAGGAUGCCACUUUUAAGAUUUCUGAGGCUCCCUGCUGGCAUGCAAUGUGCAAUGAGGAUAGCACUUCCACUUUGGAACUGUGAGACUGAGAAGAUACCAUCAACUUCCUACAAGAAGCUGAGAAAGAAAUAUAAAGAAGCUCUCCGCUCUCUGGGCAUCCUUAGAUCAUGGUGGAAAUAUUCUGUACUUCUUCCUCCUGAUUUAUGGUUCUACAACUUUGGGGUCAUUGAGGUGCUGGGAAAGAAUAGGCCGUGUAAGGGAGGAUUCUACACCCAGCACACAGCAUUCUAACCGGCUCUGCUUCCCAGCCAAGAAUGGAAGGCGUGGUUCCCUUUGUCCUUAUUUGACCAGAAGGCCAGACUCAGAAUGCUGCCUCCGUGCCUGGGCUGGAGAGUCCUGACAAGUCGUAAAUAAGCAUUCAGCCUGGUAUGGCCUCUUGGCUAAAUGUUUGCACGGUUACUCAAAUGAGGCAGUAGACAUGAGUCAGGAGGGAGAAAUAACCUCAAGAAAGUGGGUGGGGAAGCUUAUCUGACUGGGACUGGGAGAUGGUACUUUACUGAAAGAGAUGCACAGCACAGGCUCCAGGGACAGACUGCGAGCCCUCCCCCUACACUGCGCCACCUGCCAGAGCCAUUUGCAAAGCAGCUUGUAAGAGCAGCUAAGGGAACGAGCCACUUGUCCAUCCUCCGUGCAGAAGGCCAACAAGGACUUUAAGCACUGCUGA